GAAGCAUAAAAAACAAUUAACAUAUAUAUUCUUACAUUUGUCUGGCUAUCUACCUAUUGUACUAUAUAAAACUUCAUACAAGAUGAGUCUAGUUCAUAAAGGAGAGAAAAAACUCUUUAAAAGUCAGAUAAAUGUAAGUCAAGUUUUACUUAUGUACUUGCAUACUGGCAGAAAUGAUCAUUCCCGCAGGGUCGCAAGGAUCUUGUAGAUUUUGAACUCCAUAAUCAAAACUCUUUUGAGCAACAAAAUUUUAAAAAUUUAAGGUCUUUCCAAGUUCCAUGUGACCCUGUGGGAGUGAGCAUCUCGGGUAUGUACAUAUAUGUAGAACUUAAUUUACUAUUAUAUGAUUCUUAACAUUGCAGUAAUCCUUUCGGAAGAUUUUCAAGGUCUUCGCCUUCUCUAGCCAUGACAGAAAUAUUAGGUCCAAGGCACAACAUCUACCAGGUAAACCGAAGGGACAAUGUCAUUUUGACGUCCUUGAUCACUUCCUCUUUAUCAUGCCAGAGUAUCACUUCAUUCCAGGUUAAUACCAACCUUUAACCUAAGCAGAGUGUUUGAAAUAAUAUCUGCAGAUAAUAAAAAAAAUACAUCAUACUAACAUCCAUAUAUAGAUCUUCUCUUCUUUUUUUUAUUAUGUGAAUUUUUCACCAUGUACACCGACUCCAAGAGAGGUGGACAGAAGUGACCAAGGUACACCUGGUCCAGUAUCCCUGUAUGAGACCUUUUACAGAAAAGAGAGAAGUGCCAGUGUGGAAACUAAGAUACCACAUCACAUUUGUUUACAAGAGGCUAUAAACUUUACUGAUUACAAUUUCUGGAGAGCAAUGUACUUCAAAAAAUGAUAUAUCUGUAAAAAGGAAUGAGGAAAUGUUUUCUUUUCCUUUUUUUCCUAGUAAAAUCAUCAGAAAGCUCAAUCAUUUCUGGGACCGGAUGCUAAAUUCUUUAGAUGAAUGA